UCAUUCAAUUUUGUUUUCUUACUAAUUUGUUGUAGCUGUUCUUAAAGGUCUAACUCAGAACUUCAAAUUGCAUUUAGGUAUCUCUUCUUAGCCUCCUUUCAGUCUUUAGUCUUUCCCUUAGUCUCCUGUGACAGUUUUCAGUCCUAUCUUGUUCAUGAUCUUACUUCUUUGAGGAGUACUAGUUAUUCUGUAGAAUAUCCCCCAGUUUAAUUUUGUCUGCUCUUUUCUUGUAAUUUUUGACCAGAAAGCUCAUGAAUUAUAUUGUGUCAUUCUCAGAGCAUCAUAUCAAGGCGUUCAUCAUGUCAGUAUAUCUUAUACCAGUGAUGUUAGUUCAUUCCUUUUCAUUGCUGAGUAGUGUUCCAUUUUACAGGAAUACCAAUAUAUCCACUUUUUUUCUGUUCACAGGAACAGCUUUCUCAAGUCCUCGAUGCCAUGUUUGAAAGGACAGUCAAAGUGGAUGAGCAUGUCUUUGACCAAGGAGAUGAUGGAGACAACUUUUAUGUCAUAGAAAGUAUGACAACCCUGGCAGUUUUGGAGAACUAGCUCUGAUGUACAAUACCCCGAGGUCUGCUACCAUUGUCACCACCUCUGAAGGCUCCCUGUGGGGAUUGGUGAGUGAGAAAAAUGGCUCCCCUUAUAUGGUUUUCUU